rnacentral:snRNA from 1 species
ACAACCUGGCAGGGGAGACACCAUGAUCAAGAAGGUGGUUCACCCAGGGUGAGCACUCCGGCCGUGCUGACCCCUGCGAAUUCCCCAAAUGUGGGAAUCUGACUGCAUAAGUUAUGGUAGUGGGGGACUGUAUUCGUGCUCUCCCCGU